UGCUGGAGGUAUCAGAAGUGCGAAUGCUGACAUAAGUAACGAUAAAGCGGGUGAAAAGCCCGCUCGCCGGAAGACCAAGGGUUCCUGUCCAACGUUAAUCGGGGCAGGGUGAGUCGACCCCUAAGGCGAGGCCGAAAGGCGUAGUCGAUGGGAAACAGGUUAAUAUUCCUGUACUUGGUGUUACUGCGAAGGGGGGACGGAGAAGGCUAUGUUAGCCGGGCGACGGUUGUCCCGGUUUAAGCAUGUAGGCUGGUUAUCCAGGCAAAUCCGGAUAAUCAAGGCUGAGGUGUGAUGACGAGGCACUACGGUGCUGAAGUAACAAAUGCCCUGCUUCCAGGAAAAGCCUCUAAGCAUCAGGUAACAUCAAAUCGUACCC
rnacentral:rRNA from 1 species